AUUGAACGCUGGCGGAAUGCUUUACACAUGCAAGUCGAGCGGCAGCGCGGGGGCAACCCUGGCGGCGAGCGGCGAACGGGUGAGUAACAUAUCGGAACGUACCCAGUCGUGGGGGAUAACUAUCCGAAAGGAUAGCUAAUACCGCAUACGACCUGAGGGUGAAAGCGGGGGACCGUAAGGCCUCGCGCGAUUGGAGCGGCCGAUAUCGGAUUAGCUAGUUGGUGAGGUAAAGGCUCACCAAGGCGACGAUCCGUAGCUGGUCUGAGAGGACGACCAGCCACACUGGAACUGAGACACGGUCCAGACUCCUACGGGAGGCAGCAGUGGGGAAUUUUGGACAAUGGGGGCAACCCUGAUCCAGCCAUUCCGCGUGAGUGAAGAAGGCC
rnacentral:rRNA from 1 species